AAGGUAUUGAAAGAGUAACACAGAAGAAGGUAUUGAAAAGAGUAACACAGAAGAAGGUAUUGAAAAGAGUAACACAGAAGAAGGUAUUGAAAAGAGUAACACAGAAGAAGGUAUUGAAAAGAGUUACACAGAAGAAGGUAUUGAAAAGAGUAACACAGAAGAAGGUAUUGAAAAGAGUUACACAGAAGAAGGUAUUGAAAAGAGUAACACAGAAGAAGGUAUUGAAAAGAGUUACACAGAAGAAGGUAUUGAAAAGAGUAACACAGAAGAAGGUAUUGAAAAGAGUUACACAGAAGAAGGUAUUGAAAAGAGUAACACAGAAGAAGGAAUU